rnacentral:rRNA from 1 species
CCCUUAGAUGUUCGGAGCUGCACGCGCGCUACACUGAAGGAAGCAGCGUGUUAGAGUACCUGGCUUGGAAGAGCUGGGUAAUCCGGUGAAUGUCCUUCGUGAUUGGGAUAGGCACUUGUAAUUAUUUGCCUUGAACGAGGAAUACCUAGUAAGUGCGAGUCAUCAGCUUGCGCUGACUACGUCCCUGCCCUUUGUACACACCGCCCGUCGCUCCUACCGAUUUCGAGUGGUCCGGUGAACCUUUCGGACAGAGAGAGUCUCGUACAAUCUCUGAAAGUCAAGUAAACCACAUCACUUAGAGGAAGGAGAAGUCGUAACA